rnacentral:rRNA from 1 species
ACAUGCUUACAACAUAGCAUUAAUGCAUCGUAUCCCAUUAGAACUCUGUAGUUAAGCACACUCAGGAUAGAGUAGUACUGGGAUGGGUGACCACCCGAGAAGUCCUAGUAUUUUACAUUCC